ACGGAAGGCAGCAGUGGGGAAUAUUGCACAAUGGGGGAAACCCUGAUGCAGCGACGCCGCGUGAGUGAUGAAGGAUUUCGGUAUGUAAAGCUCUAUCAGCAGGGAAGAUAAUGACGGUACCUGACUAAGAAGCACCGGCUAAAUACGUGCCAGCAGCCGCGGUAAUACGUAUGGUGCAAGCGUUAUCCGGAUUUACUGGGUGUAAAGGGAGCGCAGGCGGUACGGCAAGUCUGAUGUGAAAGCCCGGGGCUCAACCCCGGUACUGCAUUGGAAACUGUCGAGCUAGAGUGUCGGAGGGGUAAGUGGAAUUCCUAGUGUAGCGGUGAAAUGCGUAGAUAUUAGGAAGAACACCAGUGGCGAAGGCGGCUUACUGGACGGUAACUGACGCUGAGGCUCGAAAGCGUGGGGAGCGAACAGGAUUAGAUACCCUGGUA
rnacentral:rRNA from 1 species